rnacentral:rRNA from 1 species
UACGAAGGGGGCUAACGUUGUUCGGAAUUACUGGGCGUAAAGCGCGCGCAGGCGGUUUUCCAAGUCAGUGGUGAAAGCCCGGAGCUCAACUCCGGAACUGCCAUUGAAACUGUUAAACUUGAGGACGAGAGAGGUGAGUGGAAUUCCCAGUGUAGAGGUGAAAUUCGUAGAUAUCGGGAGGAACACCAGUGGCGAAGGCGGCGACCUGGGCCAAUAUUGACGCUGAGAUGCGAAAGCGUGGGGAGCGAACAGG